AAACAACAUAAAAGUUAACUGGCAGAAAGUUCAGCCUGCUGUAAAAACCCGUAAGUGCCCCAUAAUGGCCCAUAUAAGGUUCUCUGCUUCUGCUGGAGUUUGAGCUAACUAGCAUGUUAAUUUAUAGACCAUUUUGCUGCACGAGGCCACUGGGAACUUCUCUGCUCCCACCAAAAACUUCCACAGGAGCAUCACCUUUGACGCAAUGGUGGAGAAGAAAGAGUGGAGCAAGACUUGAGCAGACCACCACUACCCAGGAUAAGCCAACAGCCCUAUUACUACUAACAGUGCAGGGUCUGCAGCACACGGAUGAGCACCUGGAUUCUUUUCUUAAUUGGAAAUGCUUUCAGCUGAAGAGUCAGCACGUAGGUGUGUGUGGUGGUAAAGAGCAUUAGCAUUGCGCUACUCCGGGAGAAGCUCACAGCUGCACUUACUUGGGUUCUGCUCAACGUCUCUUCCAUUUUUAUCGUAUUUGAAAGUAAUGCUGACCGGGAGAUAAAUGAUCAAAGAAUGAAUCCAUUAAAACAUGCUAACUGUAUCUACAUUUAUUCCAUUUUUUAAUAUUUUUAUUAUUUUUGCUGAACUGGUAAUAUCUUAAUUAACUGGGAACAUUUACAAAGCUCUCGGUGGGCUCCGUUUGCCCUAACAGGAAUGCCAUUAGUCAUUUACUGCUCACCAGGGAUGACAUCCAGCCAGCUGAGGCACUGCUCCCCGCUAAGGAGAUCUGACCACGGUGAUUUACAGCCUUUAAUAAUAAAUAAUCUUUUACUACUUCUACUUUUCUUGGC
rnacentral:lncRNA from 1 species